GGGCCGUUAGCUCAGCUAGGUAGAGCAUCAGGCUCAUAACCUGAGUGUCAUGUGUUCAAAUCGCAUACGGCCCACCA
rnacentral:tRNA from 1 species